CGUACGUGACUGGAGGUCAAAGAGUAGAAGCUGUGCAUGCAAAGACACUUACCGAAAAGCCCCUUUUUCUUGAGUUUCUGCUUCAAUAAUUUGAAAUCAAUAUUGCACCAUGAAACAGCACAAAUUAUCAACCAAAAAACGCCUAACAAAACCGCUUCUCUUUGGUACACUGAUCGCAGGACUGGCGACAGCUUUCUUCAAUAGGCACCUGUUCUUUGAAGACGUGGAAGAGAUUCGAACCCAGGAACGAGUUCGUAAUAAUGCCAAGCGCUUAGAGGUGUUAGAAAGGAGACAGAAACAAAUGGAAGAGCUGGCAGAGAAGAAAAGUGGAGACAGGUGAGAUUGUCAGACACCUUUGAUGUAAAAGCAUAUCAGCUCACCUGUUUUGGAAGCUGGAGGAAGCAUUGUCUCAGCCAGACCAAAGCCUCUAGCAUCAUAUGUAUUCUCCUCUUCUGAGAACUGUUGUUUAAUGAGCAAAAUCUGCCUUACACGUGGUAAAAGGAAAGUACCCUUGCAGCUGAAGUCUAAAGGACACCUAAGUUUUUGUGCAUUUAAAUGUAUUCACUGGUGUGUGGACAUCUUCAAUCACCUGCCUAUCAAAAACACACUCCGCCACCGGUCGAUUGAAGUUCUCGAUAUAAAUAUGCCAAAUGGAGCUUACCAAUAAGAGAAAAGUGUUACUGUGUUUUUUCUAAACACAGGAGAAUGUUGGAUUGUAAUUUUUAAAAUUUAAGAAGUGUGUAUAAGAGUGUAAAUAUGAUUUUCUUGUCACAGUAACCAUUGCUCAGUAAAUAAAAAACAAAUAUUUGUG